AGAAAAUUAGUUAAAAUAUAACACUAACUUGUCAUGCUAGAAUUAUCUAAAGAUAUUUUCUU
rnacentral:tRNA from 1 species